AGGUUUGUCUGUACUACAUGUUUGUGUUAAGUUGAGGUUUUUCACAUUACUAUUUUGAUAUUACUGUCAUGUUGUUGCUGCUAUAAUGCUUCAAUAAUAUCUGAUCCACAAAAAGUCUUAGCUACAGUGGCUUUACCAUGUUAUCAUAUUAUCGUGGUAAAACAAACCAAUAAUGAAAUGAACAGUAGUUUAUUGUUGGCGGGAUCCAUCAUCCAUAAAAUAUGAAUUCACCUUUAGAGGACCCAUAUCACAUGAAUGAUGUAGUUCCAUUGAAAAAUGAUAAGAGUUCCACCAACAAUGAAUGCAUGCCAUUUUAUUAUUGAUUUUGUUGUAUCUAAGAAUUCCUCAUGAUGUUUAAGAAUUCCUCAUGAUGUUUAAGGGGUUUUAAUUGGCGGGCUUUCUUUCUUCAGAGAAAAAAUAACUGAAAUUUACUGUUCUCUCAUGCAGUGGCAUGGGUCCAGAUUUCAGAGUUCUGGUUCGGAAAAGUAGGAAACAGGCUGAGCAAUAUCAUCAGUUGUAUAAAGUAUAUCUCAAAUUUUGUGUCUUUCAUCUUUUAUUCUUUUUAUUUUUAGCCAUAGUAUUGAUAUUGUUCUUUGAACAUAUGCUAAGUAUUGGAAUUUCAGUUUACGUUCCUUAGAAGAAUCCUAUUGAAUCGUUAUUCUCCUUGAUGUGCACCACAGCAUUUAAAGCAUUUUUUUGGUAAUAUCAUUGUUUAUAUAUUGGUUUUUAGCUUUUAAAUAUAGUGAAUGAAUAUUUUUUGGUCGUGUGAUCGGGCAUAGAGUCUUAAGUGAUACCUCCCUUUGGCCAUCCGCAUUCCUACCCCAAUAUGUUAUAACGAGUCUCAACUUGAAACAAGUUGAUUUAUUACUUUAUAUAGUCACCCACCCAGUUAGUUACUGUAAUUUGUAUUUUUUGUUAUGUAACUUACAAUUUGAUUUGGUGGGUAUUUACAGGAACCUAUCCCUGUUACACAACUAGUGAGGGAAGUUGCUGCUGUUAUGCAGGAGUUCACACAGUCUGGGUAAUUAUCAUUUUUUCUCACAACCUGGUUUACCUACCUUAAGAUUUUUAACGAUCUUGAUCCUAAAUUAUCCUUCUUGGUCCGAACUUUUAAUAAAUUAAAAGGUUUUAAUGCUUGAGUUGUUUAUAUAGAAA
rnacentral:lncRNA from 1 species